AGAGUUUGAUUCUGGCUCAGGACGAACGCUGGCGGCGUGCCUAAUACAUGCAAGUAGAACGCUGAAGAGAGGAGCUUGCUCUUCUUGGAUGAGUUGCGAACGGGUGAGUAACGCGUAGGUAACCUGCCUUGUAGCGGGGGAUAACUAUUGGAAACGAUAGCUAAUACCGCAUAACAAUGGAUGACCCAUGUCAUUUAUUUGAAAGGGGCAAAUGCUCCACUACAAGAUGGACCUGCGUUGUAUUAGCUAGUAGGUGAGGUAACGGCUCACCUAGGCGACGAUACAUAGCCGACCUGAGAGGGUGAUCGGCCACACUGGGACUGAGACACGGCCCAGACUCCUACGGGAGGCAGCAGUAGGGAAUCUUCGGCAAUGGGGGCAACCCUGACCGAGCAACGCCGCGUGAGUGAAGAAGGUUUUCGGAUCGUAAAGCUCUGUUGUAAGUCAAGAACGAGUGUGAGAGUGGAAAGUUCACACUGUGACGGUAGCUUACCAGAAAGGGACGGCUAACUACGUGCCAGCAGCCGCGGUAAUACGUAGGUCCCGAGCGUUGUCCGGAUUUAUUGGGCGUAAAGCGAGCGCAGGCGGUUUGAUAAGUCUGAAGUUAAAGGCUGUGGCUCAACCAUAGUUCGCUUUGGAAACUGUCAAACUUGAGUGCAGAAGGGGAGAGUGGAAUUCCAUGUGUAGCGGUGAAAUGCGUAGAUAUAUGGAGGAACACCGGUGGCGAAAGCGGCUCUCUGGUCUGUAACUGACGCUGAGGCUCGAAAGCGUGGGGAGCGAACAGGAUUAGAUACCCUGGUAGUCCACGCCGUAAACGAUGAGUGAAGGGUGUGGGAUCCUUUCCGGGAUUCAGUGCGGCAGCUAACGCCAUUAAACACUCCGCCUGGGGAGUGGGACCGCAAGGUUGAAACUCAAAGGAAUGACGGGGGGGCCGCACAAGCGGUGGAGCAUGUGGUUUAAUUUGAAGCAACGCGAAGAACCUUACCAGGUCUUGACAUCCCGAUGCUAUUUCUAGAGAUAGAAAAAAACUUCGGUACAUCGGUGACAGGUGGUGCAUGGUUGUCGUCAGCUCGUGUCGUGAGAUGUUGGGUUAAGUCCCGCAACGAGCGCAACCCCUAUUGUUAGUUGCCAUCAUUCAGUUGGGCACUCUAGCGAGACUGCCGGUAAUAAACCGGAGGAAGGGGGGGAGGACGUCAAAUCAUCAUGCCCCCUAUGACCUGGGCUACACACGUGCUACAAUGGUUGGUACAACGAGUUGCGAGUCGGUGACGGCAAGCUAAUCUCUUAAAGCCAAUCUCAGUUCGGAUUGUAGGCUGCAACUCGCCUACAUGAAGUCGGAAUCGCUAGUAAUCGCGGAUCAGCACGCCGCGGUGAAUACGUUCCCGGGCCUUGUACA
rnacentral:rRNA from 1 species